GGAGGUUACUCUCGUUUUCGAGGGUUUGUUGGGAGAAAAGGAAAGCUAAAGAAAGUCACUGAAGAAGAAGCAACAGCUCAUUUCUGUCUCUUUAAAUUCUCCGUUGAAAUUGAAGCUUUUGCCUCUCAACCAACCUCCUACAUUGCUGUCCUUUCACAUCAUUAUUUAUUUUUACCUUCCUUUUUCCUCUCAAUUUUCCUAUUUAGGUUUUUAUGUCUAAAUAAGUGAUCAAGACGCUGGAAAUUCUUAUCUCUGUCAUGAUUUCGACGAUUCACGCCUCCAUGUGGUGUCAAAACCGUUCUUGUUGGCUAAUUAAUGGGUUUCUAGCUGGUCUGCGCCGCUGAUUUUGGUUUGGUUUGGUUAGUUUUUAUUUUUGGGGGGAAAUAGUGGGGUAUCAGAGGUGAAAUUGCAGUGAGUGAGUGGACGAAUUAGGGGAGGGCAUGUAUAUCGAGGAACUGAAGGAAGGGGAAGUGGAGGUGAGAAGCGUAGAUGAUAAAUUGCGAGAUGAUAUGGAUGGUUCUUGCAGUGAUGCGAAACGGGUUUUGGUAGGAGCAGGGGCUCGCGCUCUUUUUUACCCAACCCUCUUGUACAAUGUUCUAAGGAACAAGAUUCAAUCGGAGUUUCGGUGGUGGGAUAGAGUUGAUGAGUUCAUAUUGUUAGGUGCCGUUCCCUUUCCUACUGAUGUUCCUCGCUUAAAGGAACUUGGCGUUUCUGGAGUUGUUACCUUGAAUGAACCGUAUGAGACUUUGGUACCAACAUCGCUAUAUCAUGUGAGUUUAUGCGUUUUCCUUUUGGAUGUCAUGUCAUUUUCAAACUAUGAUCUUUGAAAUAUUACUCAAAUGUUGAAAUAAAUCAGUGGUGGAAGUAUGACAUUGAUAAUAUCACAUGUGUCAUUAAGAAAUAUAUUCUCCAUUGGGCUUUGGAGCUGCCCAACUCAAACUUAAAUUGGUUUAAAAUGAGAGUAAUGUGUUCUUUUAAGUCCACCUUCUACGGAUUCUUUUGCUAUUUAGUAUUUACCUUUUUUUUUUUCUUUUGGGGACAAAUUGGUUGUAUGGUUUCCAAACAAAUUGUGUUCUCAAAGAGCCAAUGGUAGUAGUAGCAGCCAGCAUAUGUCACAUUCCGCUGUCCUAUUUUUUUUUAUCACAAACACACAAAGACAGGUAUGUAAAUGUGCAAGUGUCUGAAUGCUCAUAUAUUUAUCAUUAAUUUAUUUUUUAGGCUCACGAUAUUGUUCACUUGGUGAUUCCAACUAGAGAUUAUCUGUUUGCUCCCUCAUUUGCAGAUAUAUGCCGAGCAGUAAAUUUCAUUCAUGAAAAUGCCUCCCAUGGAAAGACAACAUAUGUUCACUGUAAGGCCGGCAGGGGGCGCAGUACAACAAUUGUGCUCUGUUACCUUGUAUGUUUGAUUCAAGGUUAAUCUUAUUGAUUGAUUGACUUUAAUAGCAUUCUUUAAACCUUUUUGAGAUAUGUUUUUCUUCUCUCUCUAUAAAAGGUACAACACAGGCACAUGACUCCCGACACUGCAUAUGAAUACGUAAGGUCUAUUCGGUCGAGAGUUCUUUUGGCUUCUUCCCAGUGGCAGGUAUGUUUGAUUUUGACCUUGCACUUUUCUGUUUGCUUAUUAUUUGCAUUCUCAACUUCUUUUGGACAACACAUGUUGGAAUUUUCUGAUUGUGAAGUAAAAAUUGAUGCUUGAAGGUUACAAACCUGUAGUUUGUGAAUGUGUUGACCAUAUCAUCAAUGAGUUUUGACAUAGAAGCAUGAUUUCAGGUAUUGCUGAUUAUGACAAUCUUUCUAUGUUGUGUCCAUGACCUGAUAUAGCUCAUUUCAUAGUUUAAAUAAACAAAUUUGAGUUGUGGAAGAGAUGAAAAUCCUUUUUCCUCUUAUGAGUUAUUCUUCUCUUUUUUUAACUUCAAUUGAAGUUAUUGAUUGAACAACUGACAAGGAAUUCUAAAUGCAAAUGGGGAUAUGAUUUCUACUUUUUUCCAAAUGUUUGUUCCCAGUACUUUCAGGAUAGAUUGGAAUUGUUAAGAUACACAUUCUUUUUGAAUUAGUUUUAUUGACCAUCUGUAUGAAUCUCACUACCCUUGCUACAUCUCACUGCAUUCAUCCACUGGGGUGGUUGUGCACCAUUGAACCAUGUUCACAGCCCCAAACUCCAUCUUGCUGUCCAGUCGCUACCUAAGCUUCCCUCUUGGAUUAUGUGUUGAAUUAUAUCACAACAAUUCACCUAUGCCUUUCAGAACCACAUUAACCUAACUGCUGUUUCUGAAUCUAAUAGAAUCAUGCCAUUCAACUCCAUUUUCAAGUGUUUUCUCAGCACCUGCAGCUCAGUCAUGAAAAUCAAGCAUUGUCUGGCUAUAUAGGAAAUUUCUUAGUUAUUCAGCACAACCACCUGUGACAAGUCUGGCUGCUGUUCCUAAAUUACCUUCUUAGUUUGCCAUCAACACUUAAUCUUACCUUCUUUCAGAUAGGACCAAGCACAAAUUUUGAGACUUAAGCAUUUGUAAGCAAACUGGGUUGAGAAUAGCAUUUAAAUUUGCUGAGACCAAGUGAAUUGGAUAUCGUGGAUAUUUCAAUGAAGCUUAUUUUCGUGUAAUUCUUGAAUUCAUCAUGUGGUAAUAAUGAAAAUACAGGCUGUUCAAGAUUACUAUCUUCUCAAGGUGAAGGAAACUGGCAGCAUCAUAGCAAGGAAAAGUAUAGAUUUUCUAACUCGGGAGGAGGCCAAACAGGGCACAGAAGCCUCUGAUGAUAGCACAUUUGUGGUGGUAACAGAUUCAGAUCUUGAUGGAUAUGAUGUUGGUUGUGAAACAGUUGUAGUGAAUGACAAGAUGUUGGGAGAACUUAGCCUGGCCUGCAGGGUUCAAUUUGCCAGUCAGGCAGCUAUUUCCAGAAUUUCAUGCCUGUGGCUUGGGUGCAUUGCAAACCAUAAACCCUCUAAUAAAAAACAUGGAAGUUCUCUCAGCAAUGAUCAAUUGAGAAGCCUAACUGUUGACAUCCGAGUUUAUUGAGACAUCAAAAUCUACUGGGUGUUACUUCUAGGAUUGGGUUUUGUUUUGUUAUGUUUUGUUUUUGCUUCCCCUUUUUCUGGUAAACACUAGGAAAAGUGAAUAUUUUAAGAGACUAAUUUCUUUCUUUUUUUCCUCUUUAUUGUGAUUUUGCUGGUUUGGAUAAGUGUAACUGGGGCUAUGAAGGAGAUUGUAGCAUCCCUUUGUUGUUGUGAAGAUGCUUGUAAUGAAGCAGCAAAGAUUUCUCGAAUGAGUUCCUGAUGAUGAAAUCUUUUCGUUCUCUUUUGUACAUGUUUGCAAUCAAAUGUGCCUUUUGCUUUUG
rnacentral:misc_RNA from 1 species